rnacentral:hammerhead_ribozyme from 1 species
AUUCAGCUGACGAGUCUUAAAUAGGACGACACGCGUUUCAAGCUGGAU